rnacentral:lncRNA from 1 species
GUAUAAUGGAUAGGAAUUGGAUUCUAUAGGACAUUAGUUAGAUAUUGAUAAAAUUAAUUAAUCAUCAAUGGGGCAGUCCAUUCAAGGGAUAGGAUGGAUGAUUUAGUCAAAAAAAUGGUUAAGUAUGAAAUGUUAGUUGGAAUCUUUUUUUUGAGAUAAGUAUAAAUCAAUUGAAGAAGAAAUAGAAAAGACUAGAUUGUGAUAGUCAUGAGUCAUCGUAAGCUUGGUACUACCUCUUAUUUUUAUUUUUUUUUAUAGAAGAAGGAUA